rnacentral:piRNA from 1 species
GCAGUGCCAGAUCUAUUGUGCUCGGAC